GCUGGACGUGGUGGCGCGCACCUGUAGUCCCAGCUACUCGGGAGGCUGAGGCAGGAGGAUCGCUUGAGUCCAGGAGUUCUGGGCUGUAGUGCACUAUGUCGAUCGGGUGUCCGCACUAAAGUUCGGCAUCAAUAUGGUGACCUCCCGGGAGCCGGGGACCACCAGGUUGCCUAAGGAGGGGUGAACCGGCCCAGGUCAGAAACAGAGCAGGUCAAAACUCCUGUGCUGAUCAGUAGUGGGAUCGUGCCUGUGAAUAGCCACUGCACUCCAGCCUGGACAACAUAGCGAGACCCCAUCUCA
rnacentral:SRP_RNA from 1 species